GCCAUAACCAUGGCCUGUGCUCAUCACCAUUAACAAGGACCAGGGCUGGGCAUCUCACCUGCCUUAUCUACUUUAGUCUUCAUCACAGCUCUUUGUGGACAUUCCUGGACUUCCCUGGUGGUCCAGUGGUAAAGAAUCCGCCUGCCAGUGCAAAGGACAUGGGUUUGACCCCUGGUCCGGAAGAUUCCAUAUGCCUUGGGGCAACUAAGCCUGUGCGCCACAACUGCUGAGCCCAGCACCACAACUACAAAACCCACAUGCCCUAGAGC
ensembl:lncRNA